rnacentral:lncRNA from 1 species
UAACCCAAUACAUAUCUUUCAUUUUUCAUCCAUUAACAUCACAAGACUCAUAAUUUCAUCAAUGGCUCAACUCAAAAUCAUUAACAAUAUCAGAAAUUAGGGCAUGGGCUUGAUAAAAUACAAUGCAACGAUUUCAAAAACAGAACAAAAUUCAUACCUCAAUUGAGCUUUAGCAUGGCCGAACCCUAGAUGGUUCUUUUUCUUUUCU